GUAUUCCGUAUUCCUUGAAAUUCGGGGCUGUUGCCCCCAUAAUUGCCACAUGGUUGUAAUUCCGGCAAUCUGGAAGCGCUUCGGACGCGGGUUCGAUUCCCGCCACCUCCACCUAAGAGCAUCAUAAGCAUCGCAUCGUAGUGUUCUUAGGUGGGGGUGUACUGGUUUCGACGGGGUGAGUGAAGGAAAGCAGGCAACUCGUCAGGCGAUCGACGUUAAUGAAGCAAAUCUCUAAACGCCAACGAUGAGCGUUUCGCAAUCGCCGCUUAAGGCCUUUGCCGAGGCUGCUUGAGCCUUGUUACCAAAGAAAAGCCGGCGGGGACUUCGGUCCCCGUCGUCA
rnacentral:tmRNA from 1 species